rnacentral:lncRNA from 10 species
AGAAAUCACCCGAAGGCAGGGUCAGUGGUUCCCAAAGGGAGUUCCCUGGACCAGCAGCUGCACAUCACCUGGGAACUUCAUGGAAGGGCAGAUUCUCAGCCCCACCCCAGACCUACUGAAUCUGAAAUCCUGGGAUGGGGCCCAGUAAUCUGUGUUUGACAAGCCCUCCAGUGUCAGGGGUGGGCAAAUGCUGGCUCACUGCCAGCUACAAAUGGUUUUACAUUUGUAAAUGGUUGGAAACAAAUCAAAAGAAAAACCAUCUUUUGUCAUUCAUGAAAAUACGAAAUUCAAAUUUCAGUGUUCGUAAAGAACACGUUACUGGAACACAGCCAUGCCUAUUGACUUCUGGAUUGUCUGUAGCUGCUUUCAGACUACGAUGGCAGAGCUGAAGCAUUGUGACAGUUGUGUGGCCCAAAGAGCCUAGAAUAUUCACCAUCUGGCCUUCUAUGGAAAACGCUUGUUAACCCCUGCUCUAGGUGAUUCUGACACAUGCAGGUGAGAACCUGCUCUGUCCAAUACAGGCACAGGCCACAUGUGACUAUCAAACACCUGAAAUGUGGCUGGUACAAAAUGAGACAGGUUGUGAGUGUAAAAUACACAUUGGAAUUGUGGCCUUGGUAAGAAACACAGACUGUAAAAUAUCUAAUAACCUUUUACAUUAAAUAUCUAUUGAAAUAAUUGUAUUUUGGAUGUAUGAAAUUCAAUAAAAUCUAUUAUUGAAAUUAAUUUCACUUGUUUUCUUUUUAAUGUGGCUACUAGAAAAUUUGAUCUAUUGAUUGUAAUAAAUCAAAUUGUAAUCUAUUUUGAUCAUAAAUCUAUUUAUUUAUGAUCUAUUUGGCUCCCAUCAUUUUCUUUUCUUCCUUUCUUUCUUUUUUUUUUUUUUUUUUUUGGAGACAGAGUCUCACUCUGUCUCCCAGGCUGGAGUGCAGUGGCGCGAUCUCUGCUUACUGCAACCUCCGUCUCCCAGGUUCAAGCAAUUCUCCUGUCUCUGCCUCAGGAGUAGCUGGGACUACAGGCACCCACCACCACACCCAGCUAAUUUUUUGUAUUUUAGUAGAGACGAGGUUUCACCGUGUUGCCCAGGUUGGUCUCAAACUACUGAGCUCUGGCAAUCUGCCUGCCUCAGCCUCCCAAAGUGCUAGGAUUACAGGCGUGAGCCACGGCACCCG